GUCCCUUUUUAAUAUUUUCAUAGUAUUUCAUAUCUGUGCCAAGCUUGGAAUCGAACACUGUGAACUCCUCUUCGUUGGUUAUCGUUUUAAAAAUGAAAUUUGACUUUUCCGAAGGUUGAACAUUCUUCACAACAAUAUCUUUCACCUUUUUAAAAGUUUCUAACGAAAUGCACACUUUUUUCUCGACUCGUUCCAAACGGUCUAUAAUGGUCGAAGCAUCCUUUUGGACGCGAUCGGUUUUUUCGUGAAAGUUUGCGAUUUGCUUUGAUAGCGAUGUAAACAUACUCAUAAAUGGUUCAAAUUCCGGCAUAGAGCUCUCAUUG